rnacentral:rRNA from 1 species
CGACCGGCGCACGGGUCGCGUAACGCGUAUAGAACCUACCUUAUAGUAAGGGAUAGCCCAGAGAAAUUUGGAUUAAUACCUUAUAGUAUGAUAAGAUGGCAUCAUUUAAUCAUUAAAGAUUUAUUGCUAUAAGAUGGCUAUGCGUUCUAUUAGCUAGUUGGUAUGGUAACGGCAUACCAAGGCAACGAUAGAUAGGGGUCCUGAGAGGGAGAUCCCCCACACUGGUACUGAGACACGGACCAGACUCCUACGGGAGGCAGCAGUGAGGAAUAUUGGACAAUGGAGGCAACUCUGAUCCAGCCAUGCCGCGUGUAGGAAGACUGCCCUAUGGGUUGUAAACUACUUUUAUAGAGGAAGAAACAGUUCCACGUGUGGAACUCUGACGGUACUCUACGAAUAAGGAUCGGCUAACUCCGUGCCAGCAGCCGCGGUAAUACGGAGGAUCCAAGCGUUAUCCGGAAUCAUUGGGUUUAAAGGGUCCGUAGGCGGGUCUGUAAGUCAGUGGUGAAAGUUUUCGGCUCAACCGGAAAAUUGCCAUUGAUACUGCAGGUCUUGAAUCAUUAUGAAGUGGUUAGAAUAAGUAGUGUAGCGGUGAAAUGCAUAGAUAUUACUUAGAAUACCGAUUGCGAAGGCAGAUCACUAAUAAUGUAUUGACGCUAAGGGACGAAAGCGUGGGUAGCGAACAGGAUUAGAUACCCUGGUAGUCCACGCCGUAAACGAUGGUUACUAGCUGUUCGGACUUCGGUCUGAGUGGCUAAGCGAAAGUGAUAAGUAACCCACCUGGGGAGUACGUUCGCAAGAAUGAAACUCAAAGGAAUUGACGGGGGCCCGCACAAGCGGUGGAGCAUGUGGUUUAAUUCGAUGAUACGCGAGGAACCUUACCAGGCUUAAAUGUAGUAUGACAGGUUUAGAGAUAGACUUUUC